rnacentral:rRNA from 1 species
GACGAACGCUGGCGGCGUGCCUAAUACAUGCAAGUCGAGCGGGUCUCUUAGGAGGCCAGCGGCGGACGGGUGAGGAACACGUGGGUAAUCUGCCUUUCAGGCCGGAAUAACGCCCGGAAACGGGCGCUAAUGCCGGAUACGCCCGCGAGGAGGCAUCUUCUUGCGGGGGAAGGCCCAAUUGGGCCGCUGAGAGAGGGGCCCGCGGCGCAUUAGCUAGUUGGCGGGGUAACGGCCCACCAAGGCGACGAUGCGUAGCCGACCUGAGAGGGUGACCGGCCACACUGGGACUGAGACACGGCCCAG